rnacentral:rRNA from 1 species
GCGGCAGGCCUAACACAUGCAAGUCGAACGGUAACAUGACUAGCUUGCUAGUUGAUGACGAGUGGCGGACGGGUGAGUAACGCGUAGGAAUCUACCCAGUAGCGGGGGAUAAGCCAGAGAAAUUUGGUCUAAUACCGCAUACGCCCUUCGGGGGAAAGCAGGGGAUCUUCGGACCUUGCACUAUUGGAUGAGCCUGCGUGAGAUUAGCUUGUUGGUGAGGUAAUGGCUCACCAAGGCGACGAUCUCUAGCUGGUCUGAGAGGAUGAUCAGCCACACUGGAACUGAGACACGGUCCAGACUCCUACGGGAGGCAGCAGUGGGGAAUAUUGCACAAUGGGCGCAAGCCUGAUGCAGCCAUGCCGCGUGUGUGAAGAAGGCCCUAGGGUUGUAAAGCACUUUCAGCAGUGAGGAAAGGUUAGUAGUUAAUACCUGCUAGCUGUGACGUUAACUGCAGAAGAAGCCACGGCUAACUCCGUGCCAGCAGCCGCGGU